rnacentral:rRNA from 1 species
AACGAACGCUGGCGGCAUGCCUAACACAUGCAAGUCGAACGGGACCUUCGGGUCUAGUGGCGCACGGGUGCGUAACGCGUGGGAACCUGCCCUUAGGUUCGGAAUAACUCCCCGAAAGGGGUGCUAAUACCGGAUAAUGUCUUCGGACCAAUGAUUUAUCGCCUUUGGAUGGGCCCGCGUUGGAUUAGCUAGUUGGUAGGGUAAAAGCCUACCAAGGCGACGAUCCAUAGCUUGUCUGAGAGGAUGAUCAGCCACACUGGGACUGAGACACGGCCCAGACUCCUACGGGAGGCAGCAGUGGGGAAUAUUGGACAAUGGGCGAAAGCCUGAUCCAGCAAUGCCGCGUGAGUGAUGAAGGCCUUAGGGUUGUAAAGCUCUUUUACCCGGGAUGAUAAUGACAGUACCGGGAGAAUAAGCUACGGCUAACUCCGUG